rnacentral:rRNA from 1 species
UACGGAGGAUGCGAGCGUUAUCCGGAUUUAUUGGGUUUAAAGGGUACGCAGGCGGUCUGUUAAGUCAGCGGUCAAAGCCCGGGGCUCAACCCCGGCCCGCCGUUGAAACUGGCAGUCUCGAGUUGGAGAGAAGUAUGCGGAAUGCGCGGUGUAGCGGUGAAAUGCAUAGAUAUCGCGCAGAACUCCGAUUGCGAAGGCAGCAUGCCGGCUCCACACUGACGCUGAGGCACGAAAGCGUGGGUAUCGAACAGG